UGGAAUCUUCGUCGCGGAGUCAUUCUUACUAAAGUUAACCUUAUUAAGAGGAAUUGGCAUGGAAGUUCGCAAUGUGUCUUUUGUCACCAUGAUGAGACAAUAAAAUAUUUAUUCUUCCAAUGCAAAUUAGCUCGUUCUAUAUGGUCAGUCAUCCAAAUAGCUUCUGGCUUGUAUCCUCCUUGUAGUGUUGCUAAUGUAUUUGGCAACUGGUUACAUGGGAUUGAUUACAUAUUUAGAACUCUUCUCAGGGUGGGAGCACUAGCCGUUAUUUGGUCUCUUUGGCUAAAUAGAAAUGAUAAGGUUUUCAAUGAUAGAAGUACUUCUCUGAUGCAGGUUAUCUACAGAUGUACCGGGACUCUUCGUUUAUGGUCCUCUCUACAACGCGUGGAGAAUCGAGACCUAUUUACGGAGGUGUGUACACGAUUGGAGACUGCGGCGAGGGAUACUUUUACAACAUGGGUGGCAGCAUGA
rnacentral:rRNA from 1 species